UAUUCAGCCAAUGUAAUUUAGGUAUUUAAAAACUGAUUGAAGGUGUGACACAAAGGUUCAUAUUCAAAACAUCCUGGGAUGACUUGGAGGGAUACUGUCCUUUUUUCUGAGGUGGGGUGAUACCUUAACUAAUACUGUCAAAUUAACCAUCUCUUUGCUCUGUUCUUACAAUCCCCAAAUCAAAGCGAAAGCGAAAACCAGGAAUGAAAAAUUAAAAGUUCACUUUUGCACUUUUCAGCUUAUCGACUUGAACCAAAAAGAGAGAAGAAAAAACUGAUGGGAAGAUUUGGCCUUUUCCCCUAAUGGUCUUUUUUUUACUUUUGCAGGUCCACUAGAAUUGUAAGUAUUCCUCUUACUUUGUUUCACAGCUAGUUUUUUGAUAGUUUUGAUGUAAUAAUUCUAGAUAAUACCACUGUGGAGUUUAUCCUGGCAGCAUCACAAGUUUACAUAGAUCACUACUACUUUUCAGCACAUGGUGGCACUCUUAAACCAGAACAAGAGAGAUGGUAAAAGUAAAGCUUGUGAAAUCUAGACAAAUAUAUUCAUCUAUUACGGUCAAUUUAACAGAAGUCUGACAGAUGAUAUAUGAGUGAAAGUUCAACAAGUUUUGGGGAUGAAAAGGGCCCAUUAGUUGUGAAACAAAGACUUGUCUUGUUUAAACGUUAUCAUCUUUCAGAGAGUUUAUAACUGCUGUUUUAACUUUUUUACCAAGAAGCAGCUAGCUCUGUUUUAAGUAUUUAGUAUUUACUUCUUGUUUCCAAGAUUUGUCAGACAGAAAUCUGUUAAAUUCUGCUCUUUUUCCUGGCAUUUUUUCCACUUUCUCUCAUGGCCAGAUUAAGGCUCUUGUAAAGGAUUUGUGUAUUGGCUUUUUAGGCUUUUUAUGGUAAAAUUAAUCACAGUAAAUAAAAAGAACUCAAGUGUUUUAACAUUACAAUACAAACUAACUGUAAAGGCAGGAUAUUGUCAUUGAGCAUCCAGCAGCUUUAAUUCCAAUUUCAUAAACACAACAAAUGCUUAAAUAAAUCUAAGUUUGAAGACAAAAAAUAAUCAAAAUUUACUCUGUUAGCUUUGAAAAACUUUAAACAGCUUAAUUUUCUGUGACCUCAGAAUAAAGCACCUGUUAAUAUUAUAUGGUCUUCUGUCACUAGAUGGAGACAUUGAGUUAAGUCUGUGGUUGUUGUUAUUGCUAGGCGCCCUCUGCCACACCCACCAGCUCUGAUUAUUCCACUGAGCAGACAGCUCCAGCAGACAGUCUCGCUCCAGGGUAGCUGAAUAUCAGUGUAGAGAAAUUGUGCACAUCUAUCCACAAGUCGAAGAAUUUCAAAAGCAUAUGGUUUGCCGACUUAUUCCAUGACACACACACAGGAGCUGACAAAAUGGCACAUCAAGCAGCCUAUAUUUUCCAUCUCGUAUACGCUGCUCUUGAGAUCUCCUCUGAACUCCCACAGUCACUCAGGAAACAUGCUUUUUUACUAAAAGGUCUCUUGGGUUCACACUGACACAGUUCCAUCCAACCUCAGCUGAUGCAGGACUCAGUCAAGCAGGACAACUUUUAAUGGCUGCUGAAUUGAAAAGCCGCUUAAACCAGGGUGAUUAAUAUCUGUGCGUCUCUUUGUAUUUUGGUGUUUAAUUAAAGACACUGAUUAAAACAUUAAAAAAAAACCUUCACAGACAACCAACCUCAUUAGGGAGACUCUUUUGUGAAACGUCCGCUUAAUGUGCAGCAUUAAUCACUCUUUGUUUUGGGGUUAUGAUUCUGAGUUUUAGAGCCUUGAGAGGGCAUUUUACUCCCUUUUAUUGCGAAGUAAGGGUAGAUAUUAUAUUGGAUGGGUCUAUAGCCGGUGAAAAUGAGCAAGCGUUGCUUUUAUAUAUAAAUCAUGUGCUGAAAUGUUGUUUAAACGGGAGCAUCAAAAGCAGUAAAAUAAUGGUGAUUUAUGUUUUUAGGUGGUUUCUCCUUGUCUGGCAGAGAGGCAAUUAUUGUUACAGUACAGUCCAUUGUAGCCUUGAAACCUCAGCAGUUGUGUCAGGCUAUUUCUCAUUUCAGGUCAGCCAUCUGCGGCUCUAUUAACUAAGACAUACUGUACUAUAUAUCAUAAAAUACCUACUGUAUGAGAACAGAGAUGUCUUUUUGCCUGUUUCUAUAGAGCUGAAGUGGUUUUGCAAAGGUGGUGACCUGUACCUUGUGCACACGAGUUGCUAUUUUUUGCACUCAAGUUAACUGACUUGUGCACACAGGAUAUUUAAUUGUAUGCAUAAGACAACGAGUGUGCACUCGUGGUAGUAGAUGCAAGCAAGCGUCUAUGUAUUUGACAAGAGUUUUUGUUGUCGAGGGGAUAACACAGUGUAAGCUGUUUAUUUUGAAACAAUUUUAAUUUUAACCCCCUCUAAAAAGUCAAAUACCCAUUAAAAGCUUGGAUUUUGGUGUGGUACCAAGGGUGGCCUAUCAGAAGAAAGGUCAGUGCCCCCCUAACUGCCCCUUUGGACACGCACUUGGCCGUCUGGAUUGUUGUAUUACUUUUUAAAGUUAUAAAUAAAACAUCAACUAUAACAACUCUAUGUUUGUAGUCAAAGAGAUGAACUAUGCUUUUUCCAUCUUAAAUGGUGUACUUAAAAGGUGUGUGGGAUUUAGAUACUCUCCAACAAAGCCUGAAAGCUAAACUCACAUUGUCUAAUGCUUCACUGUAACUUCUUAUUUACACACAGACCUGAGAUUAGUAUUUAUCCCCUAUCUCUCAACCAGAAAGCCCCUCAGUUUGAUUCAGAAACCAUCAGACAAUUCUUUUAAAGCAGUAUCAAAUCAUCAUAGUUUACUUGCAAACAUUUUUUACACAUCUAGAUAACAUGGUGCAACAUUAGUAAUAUUUUCAGUCAUGUUGGUGGUGUCCUGGCAGAUUUAAGUCUGAUAUUCCCUCUCCUUUCACUUCUCUCUCUAGCUACGCAGCUGCUAAAUACUUGUGUUGUGUACCGUGUUUGCCAGCUAGUUGCUAAUUUUGUCCCUCUAUUAUUUGGUGUGAGGCAGGUAGUGUUCAGAGUGAGAACUUCAUGAGUAAACCAAACUAGAAAAGAAAAACCAAAACAAAAUUUUGAAGAUGUUGAAUUGCUAUAAAGAGCUCAGAGAAACUACAUAGGGGAGAGUUAUUUAUCUCAACAGUUGACCCCUUUGCUAUAUCCCACAUAUUUGAUCCAUUACAACAAAAAAUUGUCAAUUGCAUUGAUUUAUGCAGUUUUAAGGUGGCAAAUCACACACCCUGUACUUGCUAUAGUCCAAGUUUGAUUCCAACUUGCAGCCAUGUAAUGCACAUCACACCUUUUCUCCCAGUUUCCUUCUUUUCCACUUUCAUAUCCUCUCAAUAAAAAGCAUUAAGAGCCCAAAAUAAAUGUAGAAACAAAAUUUAAUAUGUAGUUGACUAAUCCCUGUAUUUUCUCACUGGCCACUUUGCUCUGACAUCAUACGCUGAGCUGAAACCUCAAAUGCGGAACUAAUUUUUUCCUCAUGUUUUCCUACUGUCCCUGAAAUCCUCUCCUUUCUAAGCAGUAUUAAGAGCUUUGGGCAAAACAGACCUGAAAAUAGUCCAGAUUUGACCAUGGCUCAAAAAAAAGGGUUUUAAGACCCCUGGAGUGCUCACACUUUAUGUUAGGUUCAAAACAUUGAUGUUCAGACAAUAACCAACAUUAGCAUUAAACCUUUCCAAGCUUAAGUUUCAUGUCAAUUAAUGGAAGCCAUAGAGUUAUCAAAUUAUUAGUGAGGAAUCAAAGGUGAGGUAGGCAGGAUCUGAGAAAGUGCCAGUUUUGGGGAGAAAUGUUGAAUGUAAACACUACCCCUCCCAACCAGUUUUCCCCUCAGCUCCUCCUCUCCCCUCCGUCUCUGCUCCACUAAGCCCAACCCACAAACAAAUGCUAAAUUCAGAUAUAAUGCAGAUAAAUACAUGGAUAAUCACAAAUUGAGCCCAGUUAACAUGAAAGUAAAAAGCAUUGGUGCUACUGUAGAUGCCAACAGACUACCAGAAAACACAAUGUUUGCAGGACUUCUAAAACUAGCAUAAAGUGACAUAGUCCAGGACUUGAGGUGAAGAAUUUAGCGGCGGUACAACACGCAGCAGCAAGUUGCUGAUCAAACAGGAAUCAUCAUAAUUAUUGCCAUUUGUCCAAAUCACCCACAACCCUGUAGACAGCAGCACUGAACAGUCAAGCCUUUCAUGCCAGGUGUGAUAUCAUACAAGAAUGGCUGUUUUGCAGAGAUAAUCGGUAAAACUCUUUUCAUCUCCUUAAAUGUCCUCUUCUCAUGUCAGCGUCUGUAAAUAUUUACAUUUGUAAUAUGUUUUCGUGUGAGUGAACUACUUGCUAAUACUAAGCUGCUGGCCGGCAUGUAUCACAUCAAACAGCCAGAGGCCAGCACCAGCUCCAUCCUCUUCUCAGUUAUAUCCCCUCACCAGCUCUGUUGCCAUGGUGAGUACAUGCCGUUUUUGUGUGGUUGCCAUGGGGACCCCAUAUCACAGCCUUCCUCCUGCUCUCAUCAUGUUUUCUGCAUGAUCAUUUGUAUGCCUCCUGUACACUAAUGCUUCAGAAAAACAGAGAAACAUUAGCAGCUCAGGGGAGCGCCCUCUGGGAGUGCUUUCUGUAGAAACACGCCGAGGUAUUCCUAAUUCGCUUUCAGGGUAUGGCAAAAAAAAAAAAAAAUACAAAAACAUCAUCAUGGCUGUCUCACAGUGACAGAGCAUGUUUGACUGAAAAAGAGCAGAUGUAUGAGAACUGUUCAGAACAAAGUCAUCUCUUUAUCUUCCACACAUGUGAGCAAAUAGCUACGAGAGGAAAGAAUGCCUAACGCCUCCCACUGUUAUGGUAAUAAUAUCCAAGCUAAUGCGCUUUGAGAUAAUGACAUCAUUUGUUUGCUUGAUUCCCUCUAACAAUCACAGUCUGUCUGUGCCUUUCACACUCACAGGAAAUUGUGUUUUUGUAUGCAUGUGUGUCCGCCUACAUGUGUCUACUUGUGUGUUCACUGUUCACCACUCAGGCUAAUGUUUGCGUCUAAUUCCCAGGCUGGAGAACGAGCGGUAGAAGCCACUGAUGUUAGUCAUUUUCAAAAGGGAGCCGUGUUGUUAAUAGGCCACAAAAAUGCACCUGCCUUCAGGCCAUUCAGAGGUUUGGCAUUUCACUUCCAUUGUGUGCUUGCUCCUGUAUGCCAUUUGUGGUCUGUUGAGUCUGUGCUUGCUUCAGUUACGUCAAAAGAAGAGCAAUCUUCUUUAAUCAUUAGGGCUUGUAGGGCUUCACGCCAGGCUUUGUGUGUUUGCUCAACCUGUUUUUCAUCCUCCAGCAACGGCGGCAGCUAGUGGAUAGAGUUUUGUUUCUCUUUUUUGCCCCUAUUGUUCGUUGACAUCUUUCAUCAGAUCCUCGUUAGGACUUGCCCGUGCCACUUAUCAGAAAAACCACAAUCCCACAAGAUUCUCAUCUCGGAAACAGUCACAUGCACCCCAACUGCUCCAAAAAUAAAGCCCGCUCUCUCCUCCACCUCUCCAUGUCAGGUGUGAAGUGAGGUAAGCAGCUGUCAUUCUUGGCCAUCCAAUCCCAAGCACAUGCACGUCCUUGUGUCUGAAAAUUAUGAAUGCUUUAGGAGUAGUUAUCCUUCCACGCAAACGGCAUUUUGAUGUUGAGUCAAAGCAUCAAAGCUGCUAUUUUACCCUCUCUUUGUCCUGCUGUGACACUGGGAGAUUUAUUUUAGUCAACGCCCUGAGAAAAAGCCCCAUAUUUAUGUCAGAUUUAAAGCUCCUGUGAGGAACUUUCAGGUUGUGUCGUCUUUUGUGACCCCUGUGAAGGAAGAAGGAUGACUUGGGUCUUGGUUGAUUUUGUCUUGUACAUGUGUAACAGGGUUUUAUGACAAAAAAAUCACGUCUGUAUUUACUUUAAACACCCAACUUGCGAUUCAAAAUGACUCUGUAGUUUGGGAAAUGUUUUGAACACUAUUUUGGGAGUAUGCUUUUAACCACCUUAUCUGACACUUGGACUGCUGCUGUGGCUUCAGGCAUGAAAACAACCUUAUAGAAUGAUAAAUCCACCCUCAAAUGCUUUUCUAAUUUAAUGUCUGGAGGUCAAAUCAAGGCAUCAGGAAUAAUUUCACAAUGUUUCAUCACUGGUUCACAAACCUCCUCAUGAAAGCUUUUAAGAAAGCAAAAUAAAAAGUGGUUUGUUUGGUGUUAGCCUGGACAAGGACAGUAUAAUUUGACCUCUAUGCUCUAUUCUCACCCUAUUUUCAGCUUUCUCUCUCAGAUAAAUUAAGCUUUGACCCCACCAUAGACCGCUAACAUAAAUUUCCAGAUAGAGGACAAGAGUAGAAACAGCUCUUUCACUCUGUUCUUUCUCCAUUAACUGUACUUUACUAUUUUCUUGCCCUGUGUUGCAAUGAGUACACUCUGAGGAAUCUCAGUGCCCUCUAACCUUUAAUGAGGUUCACUUCCUCUGUAAUUGUACACACUUACGGUAUGGCAUGAACGCGUGCUAAGUUUAUUUUUAUGCAUCUGUGCACUGUAUGAAACUAUUCGUGUGUGUGAGUGUGCUUGCCUGUGCGCGUGUGUGUUUGGUGGCAUAAACACAGAGCUACCAUUCAGACUUCUAGUUAAGGUGGGAGUGUUAAGCCGAUGAAAGCUUUCCCUUCCGCCGUUCCUCUCAUUGAACUUCACGGACACACGCACACGUUCCAGCAGAUCCAUUACAUCCGGUCCUAAACCAACUUCACUAAACAGUUACGACAUUGUCCUGACUGUUGAAGUGUCCAGCUGUUAGGACAUCCAUCAUGCGGGGCUUGAAGCUGAUUCUGGUUGUCUUUCUGCACCGCAGACGCAACACGCAGCAGAAAGGGUUCUCCUUGACUCGACAACCAUGAGAGAGGCCUCUUCAGCAGACCCCUUUCUUUCGACACUCUCCUCUGCUCUCUGCAUAGUCAUGGCCUUACCCUACCUGUUUUCAUGCAGCAUCAGUCCUUCUAGGUAGUGCUAAUUGGGCAUCCUGUUUUCAAUUCAUAUGCUCUCCUUCCUGUUCCAGUCGUUUCAGCCUCCGAGCACAUCAGCCAGUUCAGCAGCCUGCUGGUCUGACCAUGGGUUCUGUAAAGAGAAUUAAAUCUUGAAUAAAUGGCAGCAAAUGGAUGAAAACACAAUAUUUGAUUUGAACAAUUAAAAAAAAAAAGAAUUAUUUUGAUUUAAAGGGGCCAUGGCAUGAAAAACUGACUUUGUUAACGGUAGGGGGGUGCAUAUCAGGGAUAAAAAACCGCUACAAUCCCACCGAAGUUCGAAAAAAUUCCAUCCGGUCGUUUUUUUUAGUUAUCUCUGUAUUUAGGAACUGUGUGCUCAGAACUGCCGUUCUGAAAACUCCACUGACAUGACGUCAUGUCAGUUCUGGCGGGUUGAUGGUACUGCCCAUGGAGCCGCCCACUGCCCUGCCCAAAAAAUUAUAAAAACGGCGCCAUUAUUCCCGGCCGCCCGCCCACGUAGCUCCGGUUAGAACCAUGGCGGAAGUACGGUCUGAAAAAGAGGCAGCGUUUGCUCUGUUGUUGGCUGUAUAAACGAGCACAAAACUCUUUUGAAAACUCCCUCGUCGGAGGAGUUGAGGACUCAAAGGGUGGAUUUUAUUUAUAAUGGGAACGUACCC